rnacentral:rRNA from 1 species
CAGCCGCCGCGGGAAUACGAAGGGGGCUAGCGUUGCUCGGAAUGAAUGGGCGUAAAGGGCGCGUAGGCGGUUCGUACAGUUGGAAGUGAAAUUCCUGGGCUUAACCUGGGGGCUGCAUUCAAUACGUGCGGGCUUGAGUGUGGGAGAGGGUUGUGGAAUUCCCAGUGUAGAGGUGAAAUUCGUAGAUAUUGGGAAGAACACCGGUGGCGAAGGCGGCAACCUGGUCCAUAACUGACGCUGAGGCGCGAAAGCGUGGGGAGCAAACAGGAUUAGAUACCCCUGUAGUCCCUGUCUCUUAUAU